CCUACGGGUGGCAGCAGUGAGGAAUAUUGGUCAAUGGACGAAAGUCUGAACCAGCCAUGCCGCGUGCAGGAAGACGGCCCUAUGAGUUGUAAACUUCUUUUGUACGGGAGUAAACGCAUAUACGCGUAUCUGUCUGAAAGUAUCAUACGAAUAAGGAUCGGCUAACUCCGUGCCAGCAGCCGCGGUAAUACGGAGGAUUCGAGCGUUAUCCGGAUUUAUUGGGUUUAAAGGGUGCGUAGGCGGUCGGAUAAGUUAGAGGUGAAAUCCCGAGGCUCAACUUCGGAAUUGCCUCUGAUACUGUUCGGCUAGAGAGUAGUAGAGGUAGGCGGAAUGUAUGGUGUAGCGGUGAAAUGCUUAGAGAUCAUAAAGAACACCGAUUGCGAAGGCAGCUUACUAGGCUACAACUGACGUUGAGGCACGAAAGCGUGGGGAGCAAACAGGAUUAGAUACCCGGGUAGUC
rnacentral:rRNA from 1 species